CUCAAGAGAGGAAGAAAUCAUAUAUUAGAUAAAAUUGUUGGGUUAGAGUAAUGAUAUUACAUGAGGAACAUCAUCCAAAUGUGAUGUGCAAUCUAAAUGUUUUCUUCACAACAAAACUUAAACUCGAAGUAUCCAUCAACAUUCGUACAACUUAUCUAAAACUUAACGAGGAACAUCAUCUAGCAAGAACUUCAUCCCUACAACUUAAGUAAAACUGAAAGCCUCCAUCGUCAUCAUCAUCAUGAACAGGAACAUUGUCUUCAUCAUUGUUGUAUAGUUUCCACGCACCCAUAUAAUCAUCCAUUUAUCUUUUGAAUCUACAUACAAAAAACACAAAUGAACUAUUAACGCACAAUGCAUUGACAUGCUGCAAGAAGUGAUAGAGGCAGGCUACUAGCAAUGUAUCUGCAAGUAUAUCUCUAUAUGCAAACUCCAUAAGUUCAUCUACAUCGGCUGAGUAAUGAGGACUUUUUCUAGGAAAUCACAAUAGUAAUUUGGUGGAUUCUAAAUCCAUUGCACACUACAUAAAAUAACAAAUAUUACUACAGUUGUAACCAUUAAUGAACUGCAAAAGCUUAGAUAGCAAAUAUUUUAUUUGUGAUUUAAGUUCCUAUCAUGGCACAACAGAAAUUCACAAUUAUAGUAUUUUUAGACAAUGCAAGCAUCUUCCUCCCAGCCUUUGCAACAUAGAAGGCAGAACUUUCUUCCAACAUUGUAAAAAAGGCUAGUAAGGUUAUUCUACUAUGCACACUAGUCACCAACCCAUGCACAGGCUAACAAUCGUGUGUUUCACAUUGGUAGCUAGAAAUAACUACUAUGGUGACUAGAAAUUGUUAGCUAGAUGUGACCUCAGUAAUGGUUUCUCCUUAUGCCAUUUCUCUUUAAGAAAAACGACGAAAUUGGAGAGAAAUUGUGUAUGCUGCUUGGAGACCAGGUGCCACCCCAACUGAUGACGUUAGACAAAGGAGGUGCUGUAGAAUAAGAGAAAACUUAUUAGGAUGCUUGGUCACUGCAAAGUCAUGAUACAAUCAAACAAAAACUACCCAAAACGAUUUCUGAGUAAAUUUUGAUAGUGAGUACGUAAUUAGCAACACACCCUUGAUGAGAAAUUCAUACAUGUAGAAAUUAUAUAAGACCAUCAGGACAUAGUUAAUGGGGUUUAUGUUGGAUAUCAAGCCCAAGAUUUAACAAUAUUUAGCUUAUAUUAGUGACAUGUGCUGCAAAAUUCUUAAUGUAUAUAACUGGAUAUUCGACUCUAGAUACAUAUUGAAUAUAUUGUAUAUUUUACACGAUGGGAUUUCUUUGAGCCAUGUAAAUUGUCUCUUUUUUUACCUAAAGUACACUCUCAGCACCCUAUAAAUCCCUUGNAUAAAUACUUCUGCAUGGAACAAAUAAUUCUUCCACGAGUGCUAGGUAAGGCUAGAAGGAUGGUUAAUUGAGAGGUUGGCAAGCAAUUUGUAUUCUUGCCACGACGGGUUAACAUGCAUGCCUGUGUGUUGCCAGCGCUGGCUAGGAUCUUAAUUAACGAAGCCAUAAAAUUAUUUUGGCUAACCUUCUACAUGACCUAUUAAAUUAUCACCACCACAUAUAAUUAUUGAUGUAUUUGUCCUUCCUCAACGGAAGCAUUCUUAAAGCCUCAAAACAUUGUUAUUCAUGAGUUAAGCCAAGACAAUGUCCACCAGCUUCUAAUUGGCACACUCAUUCUCAUGACGGUGGUGUUGGUCUGAUGUAGUUAGGAGAAGACACUGAAAAUGUUUGGUGAGCAAUUUCUUAGAAUUAUAGACCAUAGGCAAAAAGAUUCAUAUGUCAUUAGAAAUUGCAAUAAAUUAGAUCUAAGUUUUAAAGUGUCAAUAUGAUCAUAGAAAACACUAAGUAUGCCUGAUGGCCCAUAUAUUUUCACAUUUAACGAAACAAACUAUGAAGACACUGACCUUAUCAGAUCAAAUGAGGUAGAUUUGGUAAUUAUUAAGUUCAUCCUUUGCUCUGCUUGCAUGCCACAUACCUGCAC
rnacentral:lncRNA from 1 species